GAAGAAAACUCGUUGCCUUGUACAAUUUUUUCGCUAAGUACUGCAGUACGCACACGAUCCAAAAGUCUAAGAAUGAGCAGCAGCUGUUUGUAAGGAACGUACUGCGUGCCAAAAUAAGAGACCUGACAAAAACUCGCAAGAUACAAAAGAUGAGAGAAGCCCUGAGGUCACCGUGAUCAGAAGAACAGAGCUUUCGUGAACAGUCCAAAAGCACAGACAACUAUAUCACCAGGAUGUGCUCUCCCCCGUUUUUUAUGUUAAGAACCACUUCAGUUUUUGUGGUGCCUACAGGUUUGGAUUGAAGAUUAUCAUUGUAUACCUU